GACGUAGGGGGCCAGCGUUGCUCGGAAUUACUGGGUGUAAAGGGUUCGUAGGCGGUGUGGCAAGUCGGGAGUGAAAUCUCUGGGCUCAACCCAGAGUCUGCUUCCGAAACUGCUGUGCUUGAGUGUGGGAGAGGCGCGUGGAAUUGCAGGUGUAGCGGUGAAAUGCGUAGAUAUCUGCAGGAACACCCGUGGCGAAAGCGGCUCUCUGGAACGGUACUGACGCUGAGACGCGAAAGCGUGGGGAGCGAACAGG
rnacentral:rRNA from 1 species